rnacentral:sRNA from 1 species
AUGGUGGUCAUGGCGCCCCGAACCCUCUUCCUGCUGCUCUCGGGGGCCCUGACCCUGACCGAGACCUGGGCGGGCUCCCACUCCAUGAGGUAUUUCAGCGCCGCCGUGUCCCGGCCCGGCCGCGGGGAGCCCCGCUUCAUCGCCAUGGGCUACGUGGACGACACGCAGUUCGUGUGGUUCGACAGCGACUCGGCGUGUCCGAGGAUGGAGCCGCGGGCGCCGUGGGUGGAGCAGGAGGGGCCGGAGUAUUGGGAAGAGGAGACACGGAACACCAAGGCCCACGCACAGACUGACAGAAUAAACCUGCAGACCCUGCGCGGCUACUACAACCAGAGCGAGGCCAGUUCUCACACCCUCCAGUGGAUGAUUGGCUGCGACCUGGGGUCCGACGGACGCCUCCUCCGCGGGUAUGAACAGUAUGCCUACGAUGGCAAGGAUUACCUCGCCCUGAACGAGGACCUGCGCUCCUGGACCGCAGCGGACACUGCGGCUCAGAUCUCCAAGCGCAAGUGUGAGGCGGCCAAUGCGGCUGAACAAAGGAGAGCCUACCUGGAGGGCACGUGCGUGGAGUGGCUCCACAGAUACCUGGAGAACGGGAAGGAGAUGCUGCAGCGCGCGGACCCCCCCAAGACACACGUGACCCACCACCCUGUCUUUGACUAUGAGGCCACCCUGAGGUGCUGGGCCCUGGGCUUCUACCCUGCGGAGAUCAUACUGACCUGGCAGCGGGAUGGGGAGGACCAGACCCAGGACGUGGAGCUCGUGGAGACCAGGCCUGCAGGGGAUGGAACCUUCCAGAAGUGGGCAGCUGUGGUGGUGCCUUCUGGAGAGGAGCAGAGAUACACGUGCCAUGUGCAGCAUGAGGGGCUGCCGGAGCCCCUCAUGCUGAGAUGGAGUAAGGAGGGAGAUGGAGGCAUCAUGUCUGUUAGGGAAAGCAGGAGCCUCUCUGAAGACCUUUAACAGGGUUGGUGGUGAGGCCUGGGGGUCAGAGACCCUCACCUUCACCUCCUUUCCCAGAGCAGUCUUCCCUGCCCACCAUCCCCAUCAUGGGUAUCGUUGCUGGCCUGGUUGUCCUUGCAGCUGUAGUCACUGGAGCUGCGGUCGCUGCUGUGCUGUGGAGGAAGAAGAGCUCAGAUUGAAAAGGAGGGAGCUACUCUCAGGCUGCAAUGUGAAACAGCUGCCCUGUGUGGGACUGAGUGGCAAGAUUUGUUCAUGCCUUCCCUUUGUGACUUCAAGAACCCUGACUUCUCUUUCCGCAGAGACCAGCCCACCCCUGUGUCCACCAUGACCCUCUUCCUCAUGCUGAACUGCAUUCCUUCCCCAAUCACCUUUCCUGUUCCAGAAAAGGGGCUGGGAUGUCUCCGUCUCUGUCUCAAAUUUGUGGUGCACUGAGCUAUAACUUCUUACUUCUGUAUUAAAAUUAGAAUCUGAGUAUAAAUUUACUUUUUCAAAUUAUUUCCAAGAGAGAUUGAUGGGUUAAUUAAAGGAGAAGAUUCCUGAAAUUUGAGAGACAAAAUAAAUGGAAGACAUGAGAACUUUCCA